GCGGUCUGCUUAACACAUGCAAGUCGAACGGAAUCUUUCGGGAUUUAGUGGCGGACGGGUGAGUAACGCGUGAGAAUCUGCCUUCAGGUUCGGGACAACAGCUGGAAACGGCUGCUAAUACCGGAUGUGCCGAGAGGUGAAAGCUUAAGUGCCUGGAGAUGAGCUCGCGUCUGAUUAGCUAGUAGGAGUGGUAACGGCACCCCUAGGCGACGAUCAGUAGCUGGUCUGAGAGGAUGAUCAGCCACACUGGGACUGAGACACGGCCCAGACUCCUACGGGAGGCAGCAGUGGGGAAUUUUCCGCAAUGGGCGCAAGCCUGACGGAGCAAGACCGCGUGAGGGAAGAAGGUCUGUGGAUUGUAAACCUCUUUUGAUAGGGAAGAAGACAGUGACGGUACCUAUCGAAUCAGCCUCGGCUAACUCCGUGCCAGCAGCCGCGGUAAUACGGAGGAGGCAAGCGUUAUCCGGAAUUAUUGGGCGUAAAGAGUCCGUAGGUGGGUAACCAAGUCAGCUGUUAAAUAGUGAAGCUUAACUUCAUAGAGGCAGCUGAAACUGGUUGUCUAGAGUGUGGUAGGGGUAGAGGGAAUUUCCAGUGUAGCGGUGAAAUGCGUAGAUAUUGGAAAGAACACCGGUGGCGAAAGCGCUCUACUGGGCCUGCACUGACACUGAGGGACGAAAGCUAGGGGAGCGAAAGGGAUUAGAUACCUCUGUAGUCCUAGCCGUAA
rnacentral:rRNA from 1 species